GACGCUCAGGCACGAAAGCGUGGGGAGCAAACAGGAUUAGAUACCUUGGUAGUCCACGCCCUAAACGAUGUCAACUGGUUGUUGGGGACUCUCUUAGUCAGUAACGUAGCUAACGCGUGAAGUUGCCCGCCUGGGGAGUACGGUCGCAAGAUUAAAAAUCAAAGGAAUUGACGGGGACCCGCACAAGCGGUGGAUGAUGUGGAUUAAUUCGAUGCAACGCGAAAAACCUUACCUACCCCUGACAUGUAAGGAAGCCCAAAGAGAGGUGUGUGUGCACGAAAGAGAACCCGCACACAGGUGCUGCAUGGCUGUCGUCAGCUCGUGUCGUGAGAUGUUGGGUUAAGUCCCGCAACGAGCGCAACCCUUGUCGUUAGUUGCUACGCAAGGGCACUCUAAUAGACUGCCGGUACAAACCGGAGGAAGGGGGGAGACUCAAUCCUCAGGC
rnacentral:rRNA from 1 species